AAAACCAUUUGGCAUUAGUUCUUAUCUGUUAGUUCUAUACUUAUCUGAUAUGAACACGGUAGCACAUGCCAUGGUAAAUAUGGUAAAAAUGCAUUAGAAAAUAUUUUAUUUCUUUAAAUUCAAGUAUUUGUGGUUAUAAAUUGCAGGUGUGUUAAAGCAAUUGCUGUGUGUGUGUUUAGGGAACACAGUGACUUGCUGCACUGAUCUAUGCUGAAGUAUUUAACUAUGAAGAUCAGGGUUAAGGUUUAAAUUUGAGGAUACAACUGCAAAGUCAUCUGUUCUCUUUUCUUCUUCUUUUUUUUUUAUCUUUUCUCUUUGUAAUUAAGUUAUUUUUAUUAUGGGAUGCAGUGGUCUUAAUUACUGUCCUGUUUAUGUAACUGGUUGUAUAAUAUUUAAAUGUAUUCCUUGUUCUGUAAUAAAGUCUUCUAUAUCAAAUCUUUGACAGGUUUUUCAGGAGCUUCGUUGCUAAAUAGAAGCAGUUUAUGUAUGAAUAUAGAAAAGUUUCUAUUAAAAGUUAAUAUACAUUGA